GAAAAUACGCAGAGUUCCGGAGAAGGCCAAUGGAAGACAGAAGCAGAGAUGGGAGCGACCCAGGCCACAAGUCAAGGACCAUUUGCAACCACUGGAAGCUGGAAGAGACAAGGCAGUCUUCUCUCCUGGAGACUUUUGAGGGAGUACAGCCCUACUGACAUCUGGAUUUUGGCUCCUGCUCUCCAGAAUAAAUUUCUAUUGUUUUAAGCCAUCAAGUUCGUGGUAAUUUACUAUGGCAGCUAAAGAAACCAAUACACACAUCAUACAGGCAGAGAACAAGAGGCUGUAGAAAACAAAUAACCCAUUGUUGUUGGUUCUUCAUGCUGGGCAAGAAGGAAGAAAACAAGCUAUCAGAAUUUUAAUCAAAGCCACUGAAGGAGAAAAGUGGGCAUUCAGAUAAAUGAACCUGGUGGAAGACUUGAGACCUUCAGCAAAAACAGUAUAUUUUCAAUGGCCUGUUCUUUCUCUUUCUAAGGAUCUCAUCUUUGAGUUUUGUUGGACAACUACAUACAGAGCCGGUGAAGUUCUGAUAAAUAAUGAUCACAUCAUGAUACCAAGAAAAUUGCCUUAUUUUUUGCCUUUAAGAAUGUUAGAAUAUAAAACAACAGAGCAACUGGUCCUUGAUAUGCUUGCCAUUUUAAGAGUACAUAGUGGAAAUCACCCUGGACAUUCAAAAGUAACGUGCGGACCUCAUGGAUAUUUGCACGUGAAAUGUUAAAAAAAAAAGGAUGGUCUUGAAGGAAGUCGUUGUUCCCACUGAUGUUGUGGGCUGAGGACAGUUGGUCUGGCGGCUGUGUGAGUGCCCUCCACCUUAAUCACAGCUCCAUGUGUCCUUUCCAGAGCUUUGCAGAAAAUGUUAGAGGUAUCAAGAGGGCUGGGAAGAUAAAGCAGGACCUUUCUUUGGUCAAGGCUAAACAGCAGGAGCAAACUCAAAUGCCCACAGGGACGGGGCAGGCUGAGUUUAACUACUCUAAUGGAGUGACAGAAAGCAAAUAACAGACCUCAGAGCUAAGAAGCAGUUGUGACCAUGGGAAACCAGAAAGCUCAUGCUUGGUUUAAAGGGCAUCUAUUACCCAACUCCAGUCAAUCGCAUGAAGGUCUACGGUUGCAAUUGAUAACUGUAUUUUGGAGCUAGAAUCACCAUAACUUUCCCUAUAGAUAAAAUUAGGACUGAAUUCAUGAAACCCGAGGGGAUUUUGUUCUUGUUAAAAACAAUGUUAUUGCUUUAUUGAUCAAUCAUCUGGGUAAAAUAGCCACAGUUUUCAGUGUGGUAAACGUACUGUCAAACUUGAGAUCAUAAAGCUAGUGUUUUUCAUUAACGUCACAGCCUUCGUUUGAAUGUAUUGGUUGGAACACAGUAAUCGAAGGAGUACCCACUCUGAGUCACGUAACUGGAAGAGUUAUAAAGAAGGAGAAUAUGUAUUAUCUAUCUUCACAGUCUAGCAAAGGCUUGGAUGGAUACAAUUUAAAUGCAGUCAGAAAAUAAAGGUUAUGUAAUAUAACA